AGAGUUUGAUCCUGGCUCAGGACGAACGCUGGCGGCGUGCCUAAUACAUGCAAGUAGAACGCUGAAGAGAGGAGCUUGCUCUUCUUGGAUGAGUUGCGAACGGGUGAGUAACGCGUAGGUAACCUGCCUUGUAGCGGGGGAUAACUAUUGGAAACGAUAGCUAAUACCGCAUAACAAUGGAUGACACAUGUCAUUUAUUUGAAAGGGGCAAUUGCUCCACUACAAGAUGGACCUGCGUUGUAUUAGCUAGUAGGUGAGGUAAUGGCUCACCUAGGCGACGAUACAUAGCCGACCUGAGAGGGUGAUCGGCCACACUGGGACUGAGACACGGCCCAGACUCCUACGGGAGGCAGCAGUAGGGAAUCUUCGGCAAUGGGGGCAACCCUGACCGAGCAACGCCGCGUGAGUGAAGAAGGUUUUCGGAUCGUAAAGCUCUGUUGUAAGUCAAGAACGGGUGUGAGAGUGGAAAGUUCACACUGUGACGGUAGCUUACCAGAAAGGGACGGCUAACUACGUGCCAGCAGCCGCGGUAAUACGUAGGUCCCGAGCGUUGUCCGGAUUUAUUGGGCGUAAAGCGAGCGCAGGCGGUUUGAUAAGUCUGAAGUUAAAGGCUGUGGCUCAACCAUAGUUCGCUUUGGAAACUGUCAAACUUGAGUGCAGAAGGGGAGAGUGGAAUUCCAUGUGUAGCGGUGAAAUGCGUAGAUAUAUGGAGGAACACCGGUGGCGAAAGCGGCCCUCUGGUCUGUAACUGACGCUGAGGCUCGAAAGCGUGGGGAGCGAACAGGAUUAGAUACCCUGGUAGUCCACGCCGUAAACGAUGAGUGCUAGGUGUUGGCAUCCUUUCCGGGCAUUCAGUGCCGAAGCU
rnacentral:rRNA from 1 species